GGAUUGGGAGGGUUCUACGGAACCCGUUUGGUGAAUCUAGUGCCGAGAAAAGCCUUCUAUGUGUUGAAUUUCUAGUACCCGUACCCCAAACCGACACAGGUGGGUGGGUAGAGCAUACCUAGGGGCGCGUGAUAACUCUCUCUAAGGAACUCGGCAAAAUGGCCCUGUAACUUCGGGAUAAGGGGUGCCUGCGUGAGCAGGCCGCAGUGAAAUGGCUCUGGCGACUGUUUACCAAAAACACAGGUCUCUGCUAAGUCGUAAGACGAUGUAUAGGGGCUGACUCCUGCCCAGUGCCGGAAGGUUAAGGAAGUUGGUUAGCGCAAGCGAAGCUGGCGACCGAAGCCCCGGUGAACGGCGGCCGUAACAAUAACGGUCCUAAGGUAGCGAAAUUCCUUGUCGGGUAAGUUCCGACCCGCACGAAAGGAGUAACGAUCAGAGCGCUGUCUCGGAGAGAGACACGGCGAAAUAGGAUUGUCCGUGAAGAUACGGACUACCUGCACCCGGACAGAAAGACCCUAUGAAGCUUUACUGUAACUUGGAAUUGUGUUCGGACUUUGUCUGCGCAGAAUAGGUGGGAGGCUAUGAAACGUUCCUCGCGGGGAACUGGAGCCAUCGUUGAGAUACCACUCUGGCAGAGUCUGGAUUCUAACCUACGGGGACAGUUCCAGGUGGGCAGUUUGACUGGGGCGGUCGCCUCCUGAAAUGUAACGGAGGCGCGCAAAGGUUCCCUCAGGCUGGUUGGAAAUCAGCCAUAGAGUGUAAAAGCAUAAGGGAGCUUGACUGUGAGACCUACAAGUCGAGCAGGGACGAAAGUCGGCUUUAGUGAUCCGACGGCACUGAGUGGAAGGGCCGUCGCUCAACGGAUAAAAGUUACUCUAGGGAUAACAGGCUGAUCUCCCCCAAGAGUUCACAUCGACGGGGAGGUUUGGCACCUCGAUGUCGGCUCGUCGCAACCUGGGGCGGUAGUACGUCCCAAGGGUUGGGCUGUUCGCCCAUUAAAGCGGCACGUGAGCUGGGUUCAGAACGUCGUGAGACAGUUCGGUCCAUAUCCGGUGUAGGCGUAGGAGCAUUGAAAGGAUCUCUCCUUAGUACGAGAGGACCGGGAGGGACGUACCUCUGGUGUACCUGUUAUCGUGCCAACGGUAAACGCAGGGUAGCCAUGUACGGAGUGGAUAACCGCUGAAAGCAUCUAAGUGGGAAGCCCACCUUAAGAUGAGUGCUCCCUUGAGGCCACGGGAAGACGACCCGUUUGAUAGGCGCUAGGUGGAAGUGCAGUAAUGCAUGCAGCCGAGGCGUACUAAUAGGCCGAUGGCUUGUCCU
rnacentral:rRNA from 1 species